GACGAACGCUGGCGGCGUGCCUAAUACAUGCCAGUUGAGCGCUGAAGGUUGGUACUUGUACCAACUGGAUGAGCUGCGAACGGGUGAGUAACGCGUGGGGAAUCUGCCUUUGAGCGGGGGACAACAUUUGGAAACGAAUGCUAAUACCGCAUAAAAACUUUAAACACAAGUUUUAAGUUUGAAAGAUGCAAUUGCAUCACUCAAAGAUGAUCCCGCGUUGUAUUAGCUAGUUGGUGAGGUAAAGGCUCACCAAGGCGAUGAUACAUAGCCGACCUGAGAGGGUGAUCGGCCACAUUGGGACUGAGACACGGCCCAAACUCCUACGGGAGGCAGCAGUAGGGAAUCUUCGGCAAUGGACGAAAGUCUGACCGAGCAACGCCGCGUGAGUGAAGAAGGUUUUCGGAUCGUAAAACUCUGUUGGUAGAGAGGAACGUUGGUGAGAGUGGAAAGCUCAUCAAGUGACGGUAACUACCCAGAAAGGGACGGCUAACUACGUG
rnacentral:rRNA from 1 species